AAAAAGGCCCUUUUCAGGGUCAUCCAAAUUUAAUAAUAGAAAUAUG
rfam:Stegodyphus mimosarum contig46791, whole genome shotgun sequence.